UAAGGCAAUUGAUGGGUCAAAGAGUAGAAAUAUUUUAUUCAUGAACUGUAUUUCCAAACGUCCUUCCAGAAAACUUGUUCCAAAUUGCAUUUAGCAGCAAACAAGAGUAUUGCCUGCCGUGGGUUAAUCAUUGUUAAAGUUCGGAGACAGGAGUUCCCCGUGUGGCACAACGGGGUCAGUGGCAUCUCUGGAGCACAGGGACACAGGUUGGAUCCCCAGCCUGGCCCUGUGGGUUAAGGGUUGGGGUGGGUACUGCUGCAGCCUAGGUGGCAGUUUCGGCUUGGAUGUGAUCCCUGGCCUGGGAACUCCGUAUGAUUCAGGGUGGCCAAAGAAGAGGAAAAAAAAAAGUAUGCGGAUGGAUCUGAGUGAUACGUGCAAAGAAUCCCUACGGCCAAUAUUACUGAAGCAUCAGAUGUGAGGCAUUAUAAUAUAGUGGUGAAAAACAUGGCACUGGUGUUUGAAACCUGGCUUCCUAGCUGUGUGACCUCUGGUCCCAGCCUUUGCAGAGCUCCCCAGCAGGAAGAGAGGACAGCAGGGGAGAGCAUUUGCUUGGUGCCCACCUCUACAAGCCACGGAGGCCCUGACCAGGAGGAAGCUGGGCAGCUCCCCUACCAGUGAAGCCCAAAUCUCAGCCUAGGGCCUACCCAAGACAGCUCACUCUGCGCAGAGGAAAGGCCUCAGCCGCUGGCCAGCUUAGCCUCCCAUCCCCGGCUCCAGCCAGCAACAUACUAGAGUAGUAGGUGAGUACAUAUCUUGGAGCCCUUCAUCCUGGGUUCAAACCCCAGCUCAGCUCCCUGGCGGUUGUGUGUUUUGGGGCAAGGUCCUCACCUCUCUGGGUCUCAGCUGUGUCACCUGUAAAGUGAGGACGGGAAUAUAGUACGUUCGCCAUAGGAGACUCAUGAGAAGUAUCUGAGUUAGUACAUCUGCUGAAGAUAGUGCCUGACACACGGCAAGAGCUAUGUAAGUAGUUGAUUUCUUAUUACCGUUAUUGUAAUUAGUAUUAUUUUGUGACCGACGAGAGACCAUGUAUAGCGGAACAGACAAAACCGUAAUGGCCUUGGAGAGGUUCUGUGAAAGGAAGGCAAGGGGCCUGUUACGCAAGGAGGGACUGUCACCCUCCAUGGGCGGGUGGCUCACCAAGGGCCUUACAUCAGGUGGAAACUGCCAUUAAUAGUAGUUCCCUCUUAGGCGAGUCACAAACCCGCAGAGCACGAGGGGGUGAGAAAUUUUACUAUUGUGGGAGUGAGAAAUGUUACUACUGGGCAGAAUUCCAUUUUUAGAACGUGGGAAGUUAUUUUGAGCCGAGGGUUGAUGUUUGUUAUUUUUUUUAAUAGCCUUUGCACUCUAACAAUGCACACACAUAGGGGCUCUGAAGAGAAACCAGGACACAGCGGGGAGCCCUGCUACGCCUCUGGGGUUGCUAGGCAACCCCUCUGGCCUCCCACCCCAGCCGAGGCCUACUGGAGAGCCAAGGGUGGGGUCCACGGACCCCUCCUACCCUUGGUCACAAGUGCCACGGCUCAUCAGAUGGCUCUGGGAUUCUCUCAAGGGCAUCUAGAAAAGGCACCCCCCUUUUCUGUUCAACCUGAGCAGUGUCUAAUUAGGCAGGCACAUUAGCGGGGAAGAGCAUUUUGUACAGCUAGAGCUACGGCUCACUUUCUAAAGCUAUCUUAGUUUCCUGUGGUUGCUGGAACAAGUUAUCACGAACUUAGUGGCUUCAAACAACAGAAAUUGACCCUCUCGUAGUCCUGGAGGCCAAAAGUCCAAAAUCAGUAUCAAGGUGGGCCCCAUUCCAGGUGUCCCUAGGGCUAGGCUCCCUCCAGAGUCUUGAAGGGAGAAUCUGUCCCUUGCCUCUCACAGCUUCUCAUGGUUGCCAGCAUCCCUUGGCUUGUGGCUGGCUCUGUGGUCUCAUUGGCUUCUCCUCUUCCAUCUGUGUCACAUCUCCUUCUGCAUUUCUUGUAGGGACUCCUGUGAUUGCAUUUAGAACCUGCCUGGAUAAUGCAAAAGCAUCCCUCCAGCUGAGGGUUCUUUUCUUUUUUUUUCCUUUUUUGGCUGCCCCACGGCAUAUGGAGUUGUGGGGCCGGGGAUCAGAUCCGAGCUGCAGUUGCGACCUAUGCUACAGCUGCAGCAAUGCCAGCUCCUUAACCCACUGUCCUGGGCUUGGGAUUGAACCUGCAUCCCGAUGCUGCAGAGACGGCACAGGUCCCCCCGUUACACCACUGUGGGAACUCCGGGAUCCUUAAUCUUGCAUCUGCUAACAGCUUUUUUCCAUAUAAAGUAACAUUUAUAGAGUUCACAAGAUGAGGAUCUGAUACUUUUGAGGGUCAUUACUCAGCCUGCUCUCCAAGUCAAUGUCUUCCUCCAAUGACAUCAAACAGCAGGUCAGCCCUCCGCCCCAGCGUGGUGCCCUAUCACUCUCUCCCUGGCAGUAUUCGCCAGGGUAAGAACAACAGAGCACACAGCACUGAUCUGAAGCCCUGGCCAUCCUGGAGGCGUCUUGUGUGGACCUAAAAACAGACCAGGCCUAGAACUUCUGGAAGGAGGGUGGGUACUGGGCUAUACACUUAAGCAAUGACAGCUCCCUUGAGGCCUCCAGUUACCACCACAAAAGAACCAUAAAAAUCCAAUAAAGAAAAUGGAAAAUAUAGAAAAUGCUAAUCCUUCAGAAUCCCAGACUCUAAUAAAAAACUUCUUGUAUAAAGUGAUCUUCCUUUUAGAUCUUUUUUUAUCCUGAUGGAACCAUAUAGUUAUAACUUGAAAAAAGCAGGAGUGGGAUUAUGUGACUCUUCUUUGAUCUGGUCUUUUUCAAUAAUGAUAUCUUUGGGUGUUGUUUAUGGCAGUUCCCGUAGCAUUUCCUCCAUCUUUCCAAAGGCUGCUGAGGAUGGACCAUGAGUAGUUACCCCACUGCUGGAUGUUUGAGUUGUUUCUAAUUUUUCAGCUGAAACAAAUGUGGCGAGAUAAUUUAGUGAGGUGUUUAAUAUCUGACUUGCCCAUGUUGUUACAGGAGACUCACGGAGAUCGGAGGCGUUUUGCUCUCUCCUUCACACACCCCUCCAACUCACCCCAAAGCAAGCAAGUGAAAAAAGUCAGGGCUUUCCUAGCUCCCAGGAAAAACAGGCCUUUGUUUUCCAAGGCUGAGCCUCACAGAGACAGGAACCGGAUUGUCAGAGAGGGGGAGGGGCUCUGUGUUUGUGGGAAACUUCCACUGCAAGCACACAAACAUCUCCUCUCCAACUUAGACAAUGGAGGGAAUGUGUUUGCUCUUGUGGCAGAAAAGCAGGGGCUGUGUGGAAUUCAGGUAUGGUUUGAUCCAGAGGGUCUCACGAUCAUCAGGCUCUGGUUGCGUUUUUCUGUGGUUCUUUUGGCUCGGUCCUGCUCUGUGGGUUAGCUUUGACUACAGAAUCAUUUUCUUCCUUGCAGUGAAAGACCUAGAGCUGUUUAGGGCCCACAUUCCUCAUGUCAUAAUCCAUAAAAAAAGAAAAAUCUCUGUCCUAGGCUCUGUCCAGCAAGACUCCUGAGAUGCACCCUGAAUGGCCCAGUUUAGGUAACAUGUUCGCCAGUCAGACAGUUACUGUGGUGGGGAGAGGGACUGUCCUGUCCGUUUACUCUAGGUCAUGUGCCCUUCCCCCUCUGGGGUUUCCCCAGAUUUAACCCUCUGGGGAUAGAGGAGCACGGGCUUUCGCCAAAGUCAGGGGAUUUUUUUGUGUGUGUGGGUUUUUAGGGCCGCACCCAUGGCAUAUGGAGGUUUCCAGGCUAGGGGUCAA